GAAAUGCGAUAAGUAAUGUGAAUUGCAGAAUUCAGUGAAUCAUCGAAUCUUUGAACGCAGCCUGCGCUCCUUGGUAUUCCUUGGAGCAUGCCUGUUUGAGUAUCAUGAAAUCUUCAAAGUAAAUCUUUUGUUAACUCAAUUGGUUUCUACUUUGGUAUUGGAGGUCUUUGCAGCUUCACACCUGCUCCUCUUUGUUCAUUAGCUGGAUCUCAGUGUUAUGCUUGGUUCCACUCGGCGUGAUAAGUUAUCUAUCGCUGAGGACACUGUAAAAGGUGGCCAAGGUAAAUGCAGAUGAACCGCUUCUAAUAGUCCAUUGACUUGGACAAUACUUUUAUGAUCUGAUCUCAAAUCAGGUAGGACUACCCGCUGACUUAAGC
rnacentral:misc_RNA from 1 species